rnacentral:rRNA from 1 species
UACAGAGGUCUCGAGCGUUGUUCGGAUUCAUUGGGCGUAAAGGGCGCGUAGGCGGUGCUCUAAGUCAGGCGUGAAAGCCCUGGGCUCAACCCGGGAAUUGCGCUUGAUACUGGGGCGCUUGAAUCCAGGAGAGGUUGGUGGAAUUCCCAGUGUAGAGGUGAAAUUCGUAGAGAUUGGGAAGAACACCGGUGGCGAAGGCGGCCAACUGGACUGGUAUUGACGCUGAGGCGCGAAAGCGUGGGGAGCAAACAGG